AUUUAAAUAGUUUAAUUUAAAAUAUUGAUUUGUGGGGUCAAAAAUAUGAGUAAUAUCAUUUUAAAUU
rnacentral:tRNA from 1 species